rnacentral:rRNA from 1 species
ACGCACGCUGACGGCGUGCUUAACCCAUGCAAGUCGAACGGUGAAGCGCCUUCCUUUUUGGUGGGUGUGGAUGAGUGGCGAACGGGUGAGUAACACGUGAGUAACCUGCCCCCUUCUUCUGGAUAACCGCAUGAAAGUGUGGCUAAUACGGGAUAUUCUGGGUCUGUCGCAUGAUGGGUCUGGGAAAGAUAUUGUUUCGGUGGGGGAUGGGCUCGCGGCCUAUCAGCUUGUUGGUGGGGUGAUGGCCUACCAAGGCGGUGACGGGUAGCCGGCCUGAGAGGGUGGACGGUCACACUGGGACGGAGACACGGCGCAGACUCCUACGGGAGGCAGCAGUGGGGAAUAUUGCACAAUGGGCGCAAGCCUGAUGCAGCGACGCCGCGUGAGGGAUGGAGGCCUUCGGGUUGUGAACCUCUUUCGCCAGUGAAGCAGGCCUGCCUCGUUUGUGGGUGGGUUGACGGUAGCUGGAUAAGAAGCGCCGGCUAACUACGUG